UGCCUCCCGUGAGCAGGCAGGGCCCAGUGUGGCUGUAGAGACACAUGGACAACAAGAGGUGCCAUCAUCUUUCCUCAAAGGAGAUUGCUUGCAGCCGUGAGAGCAUAGAUGUUGCUUCCUGGGAACCUAAGGCAGAACAAGCAUGACGGAAUGUGUGAUUUGAUGAUGGGCACCUCUGGUAGAUUGAAGAAAGCCAUCUAAGCCAGGCACAGCCAUCUGUC